CCCGCCUGCUGGCGACGGUGGUGCAGCGGCUGGGCGCGGCCGGCUCGCUCUCGGGCCAGCGCGACAUCACCGACCGGCUGGUGCCAGCGGCCGCGCAGCUGGUGCGCGAGGGCGACCUGCAAACGCGAAAACACGCGAAGACGAUUUUUCAAGUAUGGCUUCAGCAUCCUGAUUUGGACAAGGUACUGAGCAAAUACCUGUCUGGAUCGGUCAAGCUGGACAUCGAUAAGGUGGUCGACAACCUGAAGAAUGAGGUACCGACGCCGGCCUUGUCCACCGCCUCCCUGACCUGACCUGACCUCGCCCGACAUCAUCAUCCUACCACGUCACCAACAGGCAAGCCCAAGGACUCGGCGCAAAGCAAACGCGGCUUCGGCAGCCGGGUACGGCUGAACCACACCAUGUGAGCGUGGCGGGAGGAGCGCGGCCGCGUCGCGUGGCUGCCGCCGGCUGCUCCGGACGGGCCUGUCGCGGUCAAGAGCCGCAUCCUCCGCGGACAAACGCCACCCCGGCCGCCGCGGUCGGGUCCAGUCCCGGAGCGGAUGUUCUUAUCUCUGGGAGUGGCUGAGGGGCGUGACUUGAGGGGCGUCAGGGAGAGGAUCGCGCCCGUACCUACUGCGGCUGGGCGGACGUUGUGAGCGGACGACCCGCGGGGUGGAGGGGACGGGUGGGUCUCAGGGCCGCGCGGAGUGGCGGCCCGGUUAGUUCGCGCGGAAACGUCUGGGGCUGGUCCGCCCGGCGCCGCAUAAAUUGUUGAGUCUUUGUAGUGCGUUUUACGAACUAGAGCGGCGGCCCACGACAUAAGGGGCACUGGCGGCAUUUUGUGUACGUGGAUCGCCACUGGGCAGGUGUUUUGUAGGUGUGGCUUCGGUACUCCAUUGGAUCUAAUCCGUCCAUUUGUGCCACGAAAUCAAAUAAAACUUCUCUCUUCA